rnacentral:rRNA from 1 species
GGACAAGCGAAUAAGUGCACAUGGUGGAUGCCUUGGCGAUUACAGGCGAUGAAGGACGUAGUAGCUUGCGAUAAGCUGCGGGGAGUGAGCAAACACACUUUGAUCCGCAGAUUUCCGAAUGGGGAAACCCGGCCUUUUAGGUCAUUGCAUGCUGAAUACAUAGGCAUGCAAAGCGAACGCGGCGAACUGAAACAUCUAAGUAGCUGCAGGAAAAGAAAUCAACCGAGAUUCCCAAAGUAGUGGCGAGCGAAAUGGGAUGAGCCUGUACGUGAUAGUCGAACUGAUAGUGGAACAGAUUGGAAACUCUGGCCAUAGCGGGUGAUAGCCCCGUACACGAAAUCAGAUCGGUGGUACUAAGCGUACGACAAGUAGGGCGGGACACGAGAAAUCCUGUCUGAACAUGGGGGGACCAUCCUCCAAGGCUAAAUACUCGUAAUCGACCGAUAGUGAACCAGUACCGUGAGGGAAAGGCGAAAAGAACCCCGGGAGGGGAGUGAAAUAGAUCCUGAAACCGUGUGCAUACAAACAGUCGGAGCCUCUAUAUGGGGUGACGGCGUACCUUUUGUAUAAUGGGUCAGCGACUUACAUUCAGUGGCGAGGUUAACCGAAUAGGGGAGCCGUAGAGAAAUCGAGUCCGAACAGGGCGACAGUCGCUGGGUGUAGACCCGAAACCAGGUGAUCUACCCAUGGCCAGGAUGAAGGUGCGGUAACACGCCCUGGAGGUCCGAACCCACUAAUGUUGAAAAAUUAGGGGAUGAGCUGUGGGUAGGGGUGAAAGGCUAAACAAACCUGGAAAUAGCUGGUUCUCUCCGAAAACUAUUUAGGUAGUGCCUCAAGUAUCACCAUCGGGGGUAGAGCACUGUUAUGGCUAGGGGGUCAUUGCGACUUACCAAACCAUUGCAAACUCCGAAUACCGAUGAGUGCGAGCUUGGGAGACAGACGUCGGGUGCUAACGUCCGGCGUCAAGAGGGAAACAACCCAGACCGCCAGCUAAGGUCCCAAAGAUUGGCUAAGUGGAAAACGAAGUGGGAAGGCUAAAACAGUCAGGAUGUUGGCUUAGAAGCAGCCACCAUUUAAAGAAAGCGUAAUAGCUCACUGAUCGAGUCGUCCUGCGCGGAAGAUGUAACGGGGCUAAGCCAGUCACCGAAGCUGCGGAUAUGUCUUUGACAUAUGGUAGGAGAGCGUUCUGUAAGCCUGCGAAGGUGUCUUGUGAAGGAUGCUGGAGGUAUCAGAAGUGCGAAUGCUGACAUGAGUAGCGAUAAUGCGGGUGAAAAGCCCGCACGCCGUAAGCCCAAGGUUUCCUGUUCAACGUUCAUCGGAGCAGGGUGAGUCGGCCCCUAAGGCGAGGCAGAGAUGCGUAGCUGAUGGGAAGCAGGUUAAUAUUCCUGCACCGUCGUAUGAUGCGAUGGGGGGACGGAUCGCGGAAGGUUGUCCAGCUGUUGGAAUAGCUGGUUUCUGGUUCAUAGAAGGCGCUUAGGCAAAUCCGGGCGCAGGAUUCAAGGGACUGGGACGUGUACCCAUGUGGUGCGAAGCAAUCGGAAGUGGUUCCAAGAAAAGCCUCUAAGCUUCAGUCAUACGAGACCGUACCGCAAACCGACACAGGUGGGCGAGAUGAGUAUUCUAAGGCGCUUGAGAGAACUCG